CGGAAGUCUGCGUGUGACAGUCUGACGCUUACUUGUUUACACACGAGACAUAUUUACGUGAUUCAGCGCUUAAAGUUUGUUGUUUCUUCCACGAAGUGCCUUGGAAACAUUGUCUAAAGAAACAAGACAGCAUUAUGGACUUGGUACAAAGGAAGGUGUGCACACCACGGCAAGCGGCUGCACUGACUGAUGCUAUCCUGAAUAUGUUGGUAACUGACAUGAGGCCACUAUCAAUGGUGGACGAUGAAGGUUCUAGACAAAUGAUUCACGUCCUCAACCCUGGUUACACUCUUCCCUCGAGGAACCAUUUUACCAUUUGAUUGAGAGGAAGUACUAGCGGACAUUCCAUGCUGUGUAGACUGACAUAAAAGCCACCCAGAGCAAACUUGCUCUCACUAUUGAUGAGUGGACAAGUGUGGCCUGCCUUGGCAAUACAUGUCACUACAGUGGAGACGAAUGGAACAUGAAGUCAAUCUGCCUUACGACCAUGCCACCAGAGGAAAGACAUUCAGCAUCCAACAUUGCAGAAUGGUUGGAAUAGGUAAUAGCCAGGUUUGAAAUUCCCCUAUGCAAAAUGAUUGCUAUUGUGCAUGACAAUGGUGCACUUUAUUAAAAAAAUAAAAUUUUUGUAA